rnacentral:tRNA from 1 species
GCGGGGAUAGCUCAGUGGUAGAGAACAUACCUAGCAUGCAUGAGAUUCUGGGUUCCAUCCCCAGUACCUCCA